rnacentral:rRNA from 1 species
AUUGAACGCUGGCGGCGUGCUUAACACAUGCAAGUCGAGCGGCAGCGGGCCCGCAAGGGUGCCGGCGAGCGGCGGACGGGUGAGCAAUACAUAGGAAUCUGCCUCAGAGCGGGGGAUAGCCAGGGGAAACCCUGAUUAAUACCGCAUGACGUCGAGAGACCAAAGUGGGGGAUCGUAAGACCUCACACUCUGAGAUGAGCCUAUGUCGGAUUAGCAGUUGGCGGGGUAACGGCCCACCAAGGCGACGAUCCGUAGCUGGUCUGAGAGGACGAUCAGCCACACCGGAACUGAGACACGGUCCGGACUCCUACGGGAGGCAGCAGUGGGGAAUAUUGGACAAUGGGCGAAAGCCUGAUCCAGCGACGCCGCGU